rnacentral:lncRNA from 1 species
UUCUUCGCAAUUUCUUCGCGAUCAAAUUCUUCAGGGAAGAAGCUAAAUUUUCAACUGAAGACAUACAUUUUUAGGGGUCGAUAUUCAUCGUAUAACUCAUACUCCCCAGUGACUUAUCGAGCCUGUGUACACUCACAGACAUAUUAGUCUCUUAACCUAUAAGUCUUCAAACCACAAAAAUCACUAAGGGGCAGUGUAUGAACUUACAAUCUCCCCCUUUUUGGUGGUU